AAUCAAUCAAUUAAAUGAUGGAUUUACUUAGUUUUAAACUUAUAAAUGUUAUGUGGUAAAUAACAAUAGAGAGACAUCCAGCCAUAACAAACAUAAACAAAAAUAUGAAAUCAACCAAUGUGCGUAAAGCCUUUUUGUGUUCUGGUUUCUCUCCCUCUGGGUUGUUCUCUAGUCCUACAAUGUUUUUUGAAUUUAUAAGCACUUUUCAGAAAAAUCACAACCAACCAACAUCAUUGGAGUUGCUCUAUCAACACUCUUCUUAUUCCUCAUUUGACCAAGUCAAGCUAUAUUUCCCUUUCUAAUCAUAAAUUAUUUGUGUAUUUGUUUACUAUUUAACUCUCAGAUUUUCAGAGAUACUGCUUUUAUUUUGAUGAUUACAUUUCUGACAAUCUAAGAGGUUUUCAUGCGGUUCAUCGAAGACGUGUCUGUGUUGUGUGUCAAAAUAACUCAUAAGCAUGAGCCGUUCAGUUAGUACAUUCGUAGGCCUACAGGUUUUGCAUUUGCAUAUCCUCUUUGCCCUCAGUAUUUCCAGACAAAUAAAGUUUAUGAAGCCACAGCGUAUGAAAUGACUCCAGAACAUCAAACACUGCAGAACAUUUGCCUAGAAGGAGAAAUUUAAGAUGAAAGUUGAAGGACUAAUGCAGAAAACAUAUUUUAACAAGACUGCAAUUGAAACUGUUCCCAAUACUAAGAUUGUUUCUAUUGAUUAGUCAGGUCUCAGACAUUAGCUUUGAGCUUUUUUAAAGAUUAAUCCACAUGUAAAUAAAAUGGUAAAAGUAUGGCCCUUGGCAAAGUUAACCAACAAUGUCUUUCCAACACAGUUUCUGUGUUCAGGGGCUAAUAACUUUAGAAGGUUGAAAAUCAAACAAGGUCCAACUUCAUCACAUUAGUUUAAACACAUUAAAAUACAAAUAAGCUUUUGAGUUUCUAAAUGCAUUCUUCAGAAGCUAAACAUAAGAUUUAAGUGAACAUUUUGUUCUCUGGACUUGAGUUCAAGAUAAUAACUUCCCAUCUCUGGUUCCAACAUGGAGCUGCUGCAUUCGGCUGUUCACACAGGAAAAACACAGACUUGCUAGACAAAUGUUCACAGUCUUUAGUUCACUGAAAUCCUGCAUUUUCUUUUUUAUAUUAAAUGAGGCACAAGGAGAAUAUGUUAGGGGAGGACAUGACAGCCUUUGCUGUUACAUUUUCUAACAAUUAUAACAAAAUAAAAAAGACGGGAUAAAAAGACGGGAUAAAAACAGACUGUUCCAGCCACAGCAGGCAGACCUGAUGAUCCUCCUGAGAGCAGAGGAGAAGGCUGCCGGGUCACAGCCCACCACAGCCCAGAAAUUCAUCUCUACAGCUACUUUAGAGGAGGAUCUGUGGGAAAUUAGGAAGGACUCUCCAGUUUCAGUCUGAACAGCCUGACUGAGGCUCCUGCACGGCACACACGAGCUUCAUGACACCCUGUUGAAACGGUCCUUGGAGGCUGAGUGUGACACCCACAGCGGUCGGUCAGAGGAACAUCACACAUGACGGACAAUCAGCGAAGAAGCCACCGGAAGCCGCCGUCAGGUCACGCGUCUGCGCAGACAGCUGUCCGAAGUUUGAUGCAAUGAAAUGUUGGAUUCAAGACCAAAACUGCACGGAGACGCGGAGGCAGCAGACAUGCGCAGCAUGACAACAACACGAACACGGCAGAGGACAGUGCGCGCGAAGGCUCACGCACGCGCACUGUAAGCGAGAGAAGACAUGAAGAUUACCGCAGCCGCACUGUCACAUGCACGGAGGAGAAUGCUUAAGGAGAACGUACUGGAAGGUCCUGGUUGAGCUGGAGUCUCCUCCCUGUGGGUGGACCUGACCCGUCCCACAGAGGGUAUAAAUCCUGCUGGGACUCUUGGCGUCACUCUCUCCCACCUGGCAGAUGAUGCUGCAGCCUUACCAAACCAUUUACUCAUUUUAGCAGAUUUAGUAGGGUUAAAUGUAGGUUAAAAAUAAACUUUUGUUAAGCCUUAUCCAGUCUCCCUCUUGUUGUCAUGGCUUUUAUUUGAGCCGGUCAUGACAGUAACAUCUCAGCUCUAAAAACUUCUUAAGAUUGGACAUUGGACACCAAUGCUGGAGCUUAAAGCCUUCAAGCUUCAAGGUGGACUUGAAGCCAAAGUCACAGAAAUUUUUGAUCAGAAAGAGAAGCAUAUGGACUUCAUUUACAAGUAAACAGUGAGCACAAUCUGUGUAUGUGUGUAGUUGAGUGUGUAGUUGGUAUGCUGUGUAUGUACAUGUACACGUGUGAGUGGGAGAAAGUAUCCCACAGCAGCAUUCACCUCUAUGUUUUCGGGAGGCACAGGCUACUAAACUGCUAUACAUGUUACAUUCUUCCCUGGCCAAUUAUGAAACUGCUGUGUGUACGUUUUUUAGGUUGUGGAGCGAGUGUGAUGGACAAACAUGUUCUCAGGUGCAUCAAAAGAAGCAGAUGGAAUGUGAGAUGCAGACUGCCUUCAUAUGGAGCGGUCCAGGUAAAGCUGCCCGUUUGAACAGCUGUCAGACUGAGCUGGAUCUGCAGGAUCAGAGGAGAUCCAUCUGUUAAAAAAAACGAAAGCUGAAAUGGUGAAGCUCUAAGAGGCUGGUGGCCUCUUGAGGGUAAAGAGGGAACCAGAAUCCAAAUGUUGGAACCAUGCAUGGAUGUGCAUGAUGCUGGAAGGUAACAUGAGAGAUGUGAUGCUUCUGCUUCUCCUUCCUGUCUGAGGAUGAAAGUGUUAAACAAAGAUCCUCAAAACUAUUUCAGGCAAACCUACAUUCCUAUCAACCUACCUUACUUUAUUUUGUCAAUGAGCUCUGUUUGAGGUAAAUAUGGGAUUUGUAUUUGGAAAUCCACUUCUAGAGGAGCCUGUCAAACACGGCGUCUGCAGGCUGAACCCAGGUGUUUCAGUUCACUUCAUCCACUGGAACCUGACGACCACAGGAAUGACGGUCAGUAGAGAGUUCACCUGACAGGUGAAGAUCUGCAUCUCUGUACAAGCUAUCGUCAAAAAGCUGUACUGUUAAUGUUUACAGCUUUUGAGACAGCUGACCCCCCUUUGAGCUGAGGGGGGCCUCCUCCUGCCGCAGUCUGAAGGCAGACGGCUGUCAUGGAAACAGAAACCAUGUGUGCAUAGCUGAGCGAAUGCUCACUGCCGCAGAGUUUACCUAAGUUAUUCUGCAAUGAAGAAGCCCUGCUCUUUCUCAUUUGCACUCAUAUAAAUCUUUUUUAUUUUUUGUCAUUUUUCAGGUUUACAGUAAGUUAUUUAAAGUUUCACUGUCAUAUUUUUUGUCUAAAAAGUAGAAUUUCUGACCCAGCACUUUCUUAAUAUUUGAACAACUAAUGUUACUUCUUGAGUAGGAGCUUUUUACAUUAGCACAAGUUAGCGCUGGGCAUCAGGAGAAGCCUCAGCGCAGAGGCUCUGCAGUAUUAAUUCACACAUGGAGCUGACUCUUCCCUCAAACUGCUCACCUUUAACUUUGCUGGACUUCCUGGACCUUUAAGUCCAGACCUGGUCUCCAUACAGCAGUAAAAACUUUUCUUUCCUUCUUGCUACAACUUUCCUAAAUGCCCCGUCUUCUGUGUCAGGAAAAAGAUGUGGUCUGCACGAGGAGGUGAAGCUGCUGCCAGCUGACCUUUGCUCUUCACAAGUGUUCUCUUGCAGGCCAACCUGCCUCAGGCGAGGUCACACAGCCCCACAAUUGCUGCCAGGCUGCGGUCAAGGUCAGAGAUGUUUCCGGCUCAUCGAGCGGCUGCAGGAUGGAGACGAGAAAACAAACAAGAACCAUUAAUCUUCCACCAGGUUGCUAUCAGCUGAAACAAGCUUUUCCUAUAAACACAACCAAAAAAACACACACACACAAGCAUAAAUCAGUGUACAAACAAAAGAAUACAUUUCUUUAAAAUAUAAAUAACUGUUAUGUGGUUAUGCAGUACAUUACUGUUUUUUGGUAGCCUUCAUACUUAAACCUUUUUAUCCUUUAAUGUUGUCAUCAGGUUCAUAAUAACCAGCUGUUUGUGUUAGCAGUGUUGAGAUGAUGCUGGUCACUGUGAGUGUGUCUGAGGUCAUAUAUGCACAAGCUUGUAGAUUUAAUAUGAGAACUCAUGUCAGAAACUCCCUUCGUUUAUUUUUAAGAAUGUUUUUUAAUUUAAAUAUGGAUCAUACUUGUUCAAAAAUGCUCAACAGCUCUAAAGAUACUGAAGCUAACAAAGUAACUUUCUGACAUAAUCUUUGUUGUAGGACAAUUGGGUCAUGAUUAGUUAGUAUAGAAAGUUUGGUGACAAUAGCUUCAGCAUCUUUAGAGCUAUUGAGCACCUUUAUUAAAUUCAUAUUUCUAUCAAAAUUUGAACAAAAUAUAUAGAAUAAAAUAAAAUAAAAUAAAGAUUGAAUUUCUCAAAAACUAUUUAUUGUUGCUUGAAUAUGCUGACAAAUCUUCAUUACCAGCUCAUAUGAAUGUAGAAAUCUAUUCGUUACGAGAGAUUAUUGAUUUUUACAGAAUGGCGUUUUCUCUGAGUUUGCACUUUAUUGACGGUCCCUUGGCAGCUGUCUCCCUCUUGUGUCUCCAUUUAUAGUUCAAAGAGAACACUUUCCAUUAAAAGGCAAAAAAA